rnacentral:rRNA from 1 species
UUUCUAGGACCAUCGUAAGAUUAAUAGGGACGGUCGGGGGCAUCAGGUAUUCAAUUGUCAGAGGUGAAAUUCUUGGAUUUAUUGAAGACUAACUACUGCGAAAGCAUUUGCCAAGGACGUUUUCAUUAAUCAAGAACGAAAGUUAGGGGAUCGAAGAUGAUCAGAUACCGUCGUAGUCUUAACCAUAAACUAUGCCGACUAGGGAUCGGGUGGUGUUUUUUUAAUGACCCACUCGGCNNCUUACGAGAAAUCAAAGUCUUUGGUUC